rnacentral:rRNA from 1 species
UACGGAGGGGGCAAGCGUUGUUCGGAAUUACUGGGCGUAAAGGGCGCGUAGGCGGAAUGAUAAGUCAGAGGUGAAAACCCAGGGCUCAACCCCGGGCCUGCCUUUGAUACUGUCAUUCUUGAGUACGAGAGAGGAAAGCGGAAUUCCCGGUGUAGCGGUGAAAUGCGUAGAUAUCGGGAAGAACACCGGUAGCGAAGGCGGCUUUCUGGCUCGCAACUGACGCUGAGGCGCGAAAGCGUGGGGAGCAAACAGGAUUAGAUACCCCAGUAGUCC